GAUGAACGCUGGCGGAGUGCCUAAUACAUGCAAGUCGAGCGGCAGCACGAGUAGUUUACUACUUGGUGGCGAGCGGCGGACGGCUGAGUAACGCGUAGGAACGUGCCCCAAAGUGAGGGAUAAGCUCCAGAAAUGGAGUCUAAUACCGCAUAUGAUCUUCGGAUUAAAGUAUUUAUACGCUUUGGGAGCGGCCUGCGUCCGAUUAGAUAGUUGGUGAGGUAAAGGCUCACCAAGUCGACGAUCGGUAGCUGGUCUGAGAGGAUGAUCAGCCAGACUG
rnacentral:rRNA from 1 species